rnacentral:rRNA from 1 species
AACGAACGCUGGCGGCAGGCUUAACACAUGCAAGUCGAACGAUAUCUUCGGAUCUAGUGGCAGACGGGUGAGGAACACGUGGGAACAUCCCUUUCAGUUCGGAAUAACGUAGGGAAACUAACGCUAAUACCGGAUACGUCCUUCGGGAGAAAGAUUUAUCGCUGAAAGAUUGGCCCGCGUCUGAUUAGCUAGUUGGUGAGGUAAUGGCUCACCAAGGCUACGAUCAGUAGCUGAUCUGAGAGGAUGAUCAGCCACAUUGGGACUGAGACACGGCCCAAACUCCUACGGGAGGCAGCAGUGGGGAAUAUUGGACAAUGGGCGCAAGCCUGAUCCAGCCAUGCCGCGUGAGUGAUGACGGCCUUCGGGUUGUAAAGCUCUUUUGUCCGGGAAGAUAAUGACUGUACCGGAAGAAUAAGCCCCGGCAAACUUCGUGCCAGCCGCCGCAGUAA